UUAAACGGCCGCGGUAUCCUAACCGUGCAAAGGUAGCAUAAUCACUUGUCCCCUAAAUAGGGACUAGAAUGAACGGUUAAAUGAGGGCUUCACUGUCUCUUACAUUCGACCAAUAAACCUGAUCUUUCAGUCCAAAAGCUGAAAUAAACCCAUAAGACGAGAAGACCCUGUGGAGCUUCCAAACCAAGCCCACCAACCUAUGUCCCCUUGGUUUUUAGUUGGGGCGACUUUGGAGUACAAACAACCCUCCAACUACGGACCUUCCCCCUCUAGAUGUACAUAUCAACAAAAAUUUUCCCCGACCCAGUAGCUAAAUGUCUAUCUGACCAAUGGACCAAGUUACCCCAGGGAUAACAGCGCCAUCCUCUUCUAGAGUCCCUAUCGACAAGAGGGUUUACGACCUCGAUGUUGGAUCAGGACACCCCUAUAGUGCAGCCGCUAUAAAAGGUUCGUUUGUUCAACGAUUAAAGUCCUACGUGAUCU
rnacentral:rRNA from 1 species